ACGGGAGGCAGCAGUGGGGAAUAUUGGACAAUGGGGGAAACCCUGAUCCAGCGACGCCGCGUGAGUGAAGAAGUAUUUCGGUAUGUAAAGCUCUAUCAGCAAGGAAGAAAAUGACGGUACUUGACUAAGAAGCUCCGGCUAAAUACGUGCCAGCAGCCGCGGUAAUACGUAUGGAGCAAGCGUUAUCCGGAUUUACUGGGUGUAAAGGGAGCGCAGACGGCAUGACAAGUCUGAAGUGAAAUCCCCGGGCUCAACCCGGGAACUGCUUUGGAAACUGCCAGGCUAGAGUGCAGGAGGGGCAAGCGGAAUUCCUAGUGUAGCGGUGAAAUGCGUAGAUAUUAGGAGGAACACCGGUGGCGAAGGCGGCUUGCUGGACUGUAACUGACGUUGAGGCUCGAAAGCGUGGGGAGCAAACAGGAUUAGAUACCCUGGUA
rnacentral:rRNA from 1 species